CGUAGGCAACCUGCCCUUUAGCCUGGGAUAACUACCGGAAACGGUAGCUAAUACCGGAUACUUUCUUUUUCUGCAUGGGAGAAGAACGAAAGACGGAGCAAUCUGUCACUGAAGGAUGGGCCUGCGGCGCAUUAGCUAGUUGGUGGGGUAACGGCUCACCAAGGCGACGAUGCGUAGCCGACCUGAGAGGGUGAUCGGCCACACUGGGACUGAGACACGGCCCAGACUCCUACGGGAGGCAGCAGUAGGGAAUCUUCCGCAAUGGGCGAAAGCCUGACGGAGCAACGCCGCGUGAGUGAUGAAGGUUUUCGGAUCGUAAAGCUCUGUUGCCAGGGAAGAACGUCUUGGAGAGUAACUGCUCUGAGAGUGACGGUACCUGAGAAGAAAGCCCCGGCUAACUACGUGCCAGCAGCCGCGGUAAUACGUAGGGGGCAAGCGUUGUCCGGAAUUAUUGGGCGUAAAGCGCGCGCAGGCGGCCGUUUAAGUCCGGUGUUUAAUCCCGAAGCUCAACUUCGGGUCGCACUGGAAACUGGAGGGCUUGAGUGCAGAAGAGGAGAGUGGAAUUCCACGUGUAGCGGUGAAAUGCGUAGAGAUGUGGAGGAACACCAGUGGCGAAGGCGACUCUCUGGGCUGUAACUGA
rnacentral:rRNA from 1 species